rnacentral:rRNA from 1 species
AGAAUCAACGCUGGCGGCGUGCCUAACACAUGCAAGUCGAACGAGAAAGUGGAGCAAUCCAUGAGUAAAGUGGCGCACGGGUGAGUAACACGUGACUAACCUACCCUUGAGUGGGGGAUAACCUAGAGAAAUCUGGGCUAAUACCGCAUAAUACCUUCGGGUCAAAGGAGCAAUUCGCUUAAGAGGGGGUCGCGGCCGAUUAGUUAGUUGGCGGGGUAAUGGCCCACCAAGACUAUGAUCGGUA